rnacentral:rRNA from 1 species
AACGAACGCUGGCGGCGCGCCUAAUACAUGCAAGUCGAGCGAGAAGGUGUAGCAAUACACUUGUAAAGCGGCGAACGGGUGAGGAAUACAUGGGUAAUCUACCAUCGAGUGGGGAAUAACCAACCGAAAGGUUGGCUAAUACCGCGUACGCCUCCGAGUCUUCGGGUUCGGAGGGAAAGCUGCACUGUGAGUGUAGCGCUCUUUGAUGAGCUCAUGUCCUAUCAGCUUGUUGGUAGGGUAACGGCCUACCAAGGCUUUGACGGGUAGCUGGUCUGAGAGGACGAUCAGCCACACUGGCACUGCGACACGGGCCAGACUCCUACGGGAGGCAGCAGUAAGGAAUAUUGCGCAAUGGGCGAAAGCCUGACGCAGCGACGCCGCGUGGGGAUGAAGGUCUUCGGAUUGUAACCCUUCGGGAGGGAGAUGGAGCGAGCAAUCGUUCGGACGGUACCUCCAGAAGCAGCCACGG